CAGAAAAUGUGUCGCAACAACUGC
rnacentral:siRNA from 1 species